rnacentral:rRNA from 1 species
AUGGGUGGUUCCAGCUGCUUCCUCUGCCUGGGGGCAAGGAAGGAAGUGAUCCCACCGCCUCCCCGGGCCGAUCCCCACAGCCGCGGCAGCGUCGCCGCCACCGCCACUGCGGCACGAACCUUCACCUUCGACGAGCUCGCCGAGGCGACCAGGAACUUCAGAGACGGCUUCCGCAUCGUUCGGGAGGCGAGCCUCUACAAAGGCUACCUCAGGAGCGUCAGUCAGGAGUUUCUUGCUCGUGUCCUGACGCUGAGCUCGUUGCGCCACCCGAAUGUCGUCAACCUCGUCGGCUUCUGCACGGACGGCAAUCGCGGGAUCUUGGUUCACGAGUACAUGCCAUUGGGUUCUCUCCAAAAUCACCUCCAUGAUCGGUCUCCGGGCAAAGCACUGCUAGACUGGAACACAAGGAUGAACAUAGCUGCCGGCGUGGCCAAGGGUUUGGAGUAUCUGCACCACCAAGGUGUGGUGUACCGCAAACCCAUGAGCAGCUCGGACAUCUUGCUCGGAGAUGGCUACCACCCAAAGCUGUCCCAGUAUGGACUGGCAGAGCUUCAUCAGCUAGGUGCAGAGGAAAUCAAGAGCUUCACGCGAAGUACUAAUAUUGCCCCCGAGAUGUUAGCUACCGGGAGGGUGACCACCAAGUCGAACGUGUACAGCUUCGGCGGCGUGCUGCUGGAGUUGAUCACGGGACGGACCCCCUUCGACCCCGCCCAGGCCGCCGCCGAGGAUCGGAACCUUGUCAUGUGGGCGACACGAGUGAUGAAGGACAGGAGCCAGCUCCGGUGGAUGGCAGACCCGGCGCUGCAGGACCAGUAUCCGUCCAUGGGUUUGCAGGAGGCACUAGAAGUUGCUUCCAUGUGCAUCCACCAACGGCCGGCCAUGAGAUCCCCCAUUGGCGCCGUCGUCGCAGCUCUGUCUCGCCUUGCCGCCUGCGAUGAUCCUCCACCUGAAUCAUCACACCACGCGGCGCCUCGUUAA